UAGAUAGAGUUUGAUCCUGGCUCAGGAUGAACGCUGGCGGCGUGCUUAACACAUGCAAGUCGAACGGACGCUUUGGGAAACUGGGGCGUUAGUGGCAAACGGGUGAGUAACGCGUGGGUGACCUGCCUCAAAGUGGGGAACAACAGACCGAAAGGUUUGCUAAUACCGCAUAAGUUCGGUGAUUCAAUUCAUCGAGUAAAACCGCAAGGUGCUUUGAGAGGGGCCCGCGUCCCAUCAGGUAGUUGGUGAGGUAAAAGCCCACCAAGCCGAUGACGGGUAGCUGUUCUGAGAGGAAGAUCAGCCACAAUGGAACUGAGAUACGGUCCAUACUCCUACGGGAGGCAGCAGUGAGGAAUAUUGCGCAAUGGGGGAAACCCUGACGCAGCGACGCCGCGUGGGUGAUGAAGGCCUUCGGGUCGUAAAACCCUUUUGGCAGGGACGAGUGAGGACGGUACCUGUUGAAUAAGUCUCGGCUAACUACGUGCCAGCAGCCGCGGUAAAACGUAGGAGGCAAGCGUUAUCCGGAUUCACUGGGCGUAAAGCGUGCGUAGGCGGUUAGGUAAGUCGGAUGUGAAAGCCCCUGGCUCAACUGGGGGA
rnacentral:rRNA from 1 species